rnacentral:tRNA from 5 species
CGGGCUGUAGCGCAGCUUGGCUAGCGCGCUUGCUUGGGGUGCAAGAGGUCGUGGGUUCAAAUCCCGCCAGCCCGA